AUUGAACGCUGGCGGCAUGCCUUACACAUGCAAGUCGAACGGUAACGCGGGGCAACCUGGCGACGAGUGGCGAACGGGUGAGUAAUACAUCGGAACGUGCCCAGUAGUGGGGGAUAGCCCGGCGAAAGCCGGAUUAAUACCGCAUACGACCUAUGGGUGAAAGCGGGGGAUCGCAAGACCUCGCGCUAUUGGAGCGGCCGAUGUCAGAUUAGCUAGUUGGUGGGGUAAAGGCCUACCAAGGCGACGAUCUGUAGCUGGUCUGAGAGGACGACCAGCCACACUGGGACUGAGACACGGCCCAGACUCCUACGGGAGGCAGCAGUGGGGAAUUUUGGACAAUGGGGGCAACCCUGAUCCAGCCAUGCCGCGUGCGGGAAGAAGGCCUUCGGGUUGUAAACCGCUUUUGUCGGGGAAGAAACGGUCUGCGCUAAUACCGCGGACUAAUGACGGUACCCGAAGAAUAAGCACCGGCUAACUACGUGCCAGCCGCCGCCGUAAGAC
rnacentral:rRNA from 1 species